rnacentral:tRNA from 1 species
UAGAAGGUAGUAUAGCGGAAGUAUAGAGAGUUUUGGGCUUUCUGGUUCAAGUUCGAGUCUUAGUUUUCUAG